rnacentral:pre_miRNA from 1 species
UCGAUACUCUUUUCGUUCGGAAUUACUUGUUACAGAAAUGGAUGUAUCUAGAUGUAUUUUAGUUCUAGAUACAUCCAUAUUCGAGACAAGUAAUUCCAAACGGAGGGAGUAAAUC